rnacentral:rRNA from 1 species
GAUGAACGCUGGCGGCGUGCUUAACACAUGCAAGUCGAACGUGAAGGGCGCAGUAAUGUGCCUGGAAAGUGGCAAACGGGUGAGUAACACGUAGAUACCUGCCUCGCAGUGGGGGAUAACCACGGGAAACUGUGGCUAAUACCGCAUGGUCUUGAUGAUGCGGGAGCAUCGACAAGUAAAGCUUAAUGUGCUGCGAGAGGGGUCUGCGCCCGAUAGCUAGUUGGUGAGGUAAAGGCUCACCAAGGCUGGGAUCGGUAGCUGGUCUGAGAGGACGAUCAGCCACACGGGAACUGAGACACGGUCCCGACUCCUACGGGGGGCAGCAGUGAGGAAUAUUGGGCAAUGGACGCAAGUCUGACCCAGCAACGCCGCGUGGAGGACGAAGGCUUUCGGGUUGUAAC